AAAUUGAUUAACAAAAAUGUCAACAGAAUCAUAGAAUGUAGAUCUAAUUCAUGAAUUAAGACAAUCUUUAUUCUCUUGAGAAAUGGGUCAAUCACCUACUCCAACAGAGCCUCAAGCCGACCCAAUAACUACGAUCUUCUACGGACUGACGGCCAUCAUCCUCGUAUACCUAAUCGUUGACUUCUUUAUGCGCUUAUUAAAAGUUGGAAACUACGGCGACAGAUACGUGAUGGUCACUGACUGCGACUCUGCGUUUGGACAAAGUCUAGUCCAUCGUUUGGACUAUUUGGGUUUCCACGUAUUUGCCGGAUGCCUCACAGAGGACGGGAGAAUUUUCUUGUCCGGUAACUGCUCCAACCGAGUGGCCACGUUCCUCCUUGACGUCACGAAGACCAAGCGUAUCGAAGCAGUCGUUCAAGCAGUUCGCAGGCUGCUCCCAAACAGCAAAGGUACGUUUUAGGAUGGGUAGUGUUUCAGUAAGCUGCGGCUACAAAUCAAAGGUACGUUUUAGGAUGCUUAGUGUUUCAGUAAGCUGCGGCUACAAAUCAAAGGUACGUUUUAGGAUGGGUAGUGUUUCAGUAAGCUGCGGCUACAAAUCAAAGGUACGUUUUAGGAUGGGUAGUGUUUCAGUAAGCUGCGGCUACA
rnacentral:sRNA from 1 species